rnacentral:lncRNA from 1 species
GGGGGGGUCCGGGGGCGUGGCCUAUUUUGAGCCCUUCACGUGAUUGGCUGAGGGGCGUGGCUUUGCGCAAACGCUUCCCGCUAUUGGUGGGGGGGCAUGGCCUGCACGGAUCCCUUCACGCUAUUGGCUGGGGGGCGGAGCUGAUCGCAAGCUCUUCCUGCUAUUGGUUGAGGGGCGUGACCCAUUCUGAUCCCUUCACGCCAUUGGCUGAGGGGCGUGGCCUACUCAGCUAUAAAAGGGCAGGCGCUGUGCGAAGCCUCCGCAGUGUGCUCAGAGCGCCGCCACGGGCGUUUGGUUCGCGUUGCGUUGCGAGAGCGUUGCAGGCCGCAAUGGUGGCGCUAAUUAAUUAUCCAUCCGAUAAUCGGUGGUCGGUAAUUAGCGGCGGUUUAUUAACACGUUUCCGGUGUCCCGGCGUUGUCCCGGCGGCGCUCAGGGCCCCAGGCCGCGCAGCACGAAGGAGGCCAACAGCAGCAGGCACAGCUCCGCCAGGCCGAUGCCGACGCUGCCCCCCACGAUGGCCACGAGGUUCUCCCUGACCCACAGGUGGGCGCUGUGCGCGCAGCCCCGGCCGUAGGUGUCCCCGGGGGUCGCUGUGGGGCAGCGGCCAUGGGGCAGCGGCGUCGGCGCUG